GACGCAACGCGAAGAACCUUACCAAGGCUUGACAUACACCGGAAACGGCCAGAGAUGGUCGCCCCCUUGUGGUCGGUGUACAGGUGGUGCAUGGCUGUCGUCAGCUCGUGUCGUGAGAUGUUGGGUUAAGUCCCGCAACGAGCGCAACCCUUGUCCUGUGUUGCCAGCAUGCCCUUCGGGGUGAUGGGGACUCACAGGAGACCGCCGGGGUCAACUCGGAGGAAGGUGGGGACGACGUCAAGUCAUCAUGCCCCUUAUGUCUUGGGCUGCACACGUGCUACAAUGGCAGGUACAAAGAGCUGCGAAACCGUGAGGUGGAGCGAAUCUCAAAAAGCCUGU
rnacentral:rRNA from 1 species